AAAAGACUCCUACUUUCCGGCUUCUGGCGCCGGAGCAGAGUGAAAUAUAUACCACUGAUUCAAGAAAUAUUGAGCACAUUCUUAAGACAAACUUUAGCAAGUACUCUAAAGGAAAGAGAAAUCAAGAGGUUAUAAUGGAUUUGUUUGGUGAAGGGAUUUUCGCGGUGGAUGGUGAGAAAUGGAAGCAGCAGAGGAAACUUG
rnacentral:misc_RNA from 1 species